rnacentral:lncRNA from 1 species
UAGCAGCAGGAAAGAGAAGGGAUUUUUGUUCCAGUAGGAAAGAUAAUCCUCACUCGUCGAUAAAGAGCAAGCUGGAGAUGGAACAUGGGAAUUGGGGGAAAAACAGAUCCAUGUGUUUGGCCAAUGCUAGCUUGGUGUGCGCCUCGUGGUUGAGAGAGAAGGAGGACCUUUGCAGGGUGAUCAAAGGAUGUGCUCGGUCUCUGUUGGUCCAAAUCUCAGGUAAAGCUAACACAUCGUGGUAGUCUUUCUUCAAUUUCGAUUGGUUUACGACAGUACCAUUCAAUCAAAAAAAUGUUUAUGACAUUAAUUCAAAGUAGUGAUGUAAAAUUUAUAUGUUCAGCUCCUUCCUUGGUGCCACGCUUUGGUGGCUUUCGCUGCUCGGCAUCCCCCGUCCUAACUCU